rnacentral:tRNA from 1 species
UAGAAAGAAGCUCGCUGGAUAGAGUUUUUAGCUGUUAACUAAAGUUUUGUGGGAUCGAGGCCCGCCUUUCUAG